ensembl:misc_RNA Metazoa_SRP Metazoan signal recognition particle RNA
GCUGGGCGUGGUGGCUCACGCCUGUAAUCCCAGCUCUUUGGGAGGCGGAGGCGGGUGGAUCACCUGAGGUCGGGAGUUUGAGACCAACCUGACCAACAUGGAGAAACCCCGUCUCUA